UACGGGGGGGGCAAGCGUUGUUCGGAAUUACUGGGCGUAAAGGGCUCGUAGGCGGCCAACUAAGUCAAACGUGAAAUCCCUCGGCUUAACCGGGGAACUGCGUCUGAUACUGGAUGGCUUGAGUUUGGGAGAGGGAUGCGGAAUUCCAGGUGUAGCGGUGAAAUGCGUAGAUAUCUGGAGGAACACCGGUGGCGAAGGCGGCAUCCUGGACCCAACACUGACGCUGAGGAGCGAAAGCCAGGGGAGCAAAGCGGGAU
rnacentral:rRNA from 1 species